AAUGAACCCUGCCCAUUGGACUUGGUUUUUAGACGUACACACACACACAAACAUCCAUUGGUUUAUAACGUCUCUCUCGAGAGGGGGGAUACUUAAAUAAAUAAGAAAAAAAACCCGCUCGCAGAUGGUGAAAUGUUGUUAUCUUCUCUCUUUUUUAACCAACUUUAUUUUUUCUCUUCUCUCUUUGCCUCCCAAAAUCUCUGAGAGAUUGACUUUGACUCUGCACUUUAAGCGACUUUAAAGGUUGUUGGCAGCGGGUCGUGAAGGCAAAGCCAAGAUUUUUGUGACUGGUCAUCGACUGAGCUGCUGCUGCUGCUGCUGAAACUAGGGGGGAGGGAGGCAAAAAAAAAAUAAGUUUUAAGAAGGGAAGAAAGAAAAAAAGUCGCUUUUGGUAUACACAUACUUGUCCCGUUUGUGUACUUACUUAGGAGCGACUGGAAAUGCCGCGUUCAAAUAUUUUAACUUGCUAGAAGGAAAUAUAUAUAUACAUAAAGACGAAGUAGUAUAAGCCAGGGGGGUACCAUACUGAGUAAGAAAGAAAGAAGAAGAAAAAAAAGAAGUUAAAAGAUAGGAAAUUGAAAGAGAACUUGCUGUGUCAAGUUGUUUGCUCCGUUGCUCGAUAAGUAGACAAAAUGCGCCCGGGUCCCGACAUCCCGUCAACAUCAUCCAGCCGAUUGGAAUUUUUGUUUUUUUCUUCUUUUUCUUUACAAGGAAGAAAAAAAAUGAAAUUUCUCUCAUGUCAGAUCUUUUUUUCCAUCUCUUGCUUUUUUUUUUUUUAAGUGAGUUUUUAAAAGGAAAGGCACUUGACAUUGAUUGCAGCGAGCCAUCUGUGAAUAGAUGAUGGAACGAUGGCGAUGGAACAAAAGUCUGAGGAAGAAGAAGAAGAAGGCGAAUCAAUACCCGCCCGACCAUAAAUGCAUCACUUUUCUCUUUACUCGUCUUUGCAUGCAACGACGGCGACGACUUGGAGCUACUAAAAAUUGAGAGUUUCUUUUUGAAAAAGAAAAGUAGUCGUCGCAUCACGAGGACUGGAAUAGACGGGCGAAGAAGAAGAAAAAAAAGUGAUUUUUUGUUUCUUUUUUUUUUUUUGCUAUUCACUGACGUGGCACGGCAGGCCAAAGUUGUAAGCGAAAGAGAUCGUUAUGUUGAACGGCUGUGCUGAUGCUGCUGAUGUCAGUCUGCCUCGCUCUCCUCCGGCGUCGUCGGGCAUUUGUUCCGUCUUGCCGACCGGCGACUCUCGCCUUAUACUACUCACUACAUCCAUCCAACAGCAAACCCGCGCCAACGGCAGACGGGCCAGCAGCAGCAGCAGCAGC